UAGGGAAUCUUCCACAAUGGACGCAAGUCUGAUGGAGCAACGCCGCGUGAGUGAAGAGGGCUUUCGGGUCGUAAAACUCUGUUAUUGAAGAAGAACGUGUGUGACAGUAACUGGUCAUGCAGUGACGGUAUUCAAUCAGAAAGUCACGGCUAACUACGUGCCAGCAGCCGCGGUAAUACGUAGGUGGCAAGCGUUGUCCGGAUUUAUUGGGCGUAAAGCGAGUGCAGGCGGUCUUUUAAGUCUGAUGUGAAAGCCUUCGGCUUAACCGAAGAAGGGCAUCGGAAACUGGGAGACUUGAGUGCAGAAGAGGAGAGUGGAACUCCAUGUGUAGCGGUGAAAUGCGUAGAUAUAUGGAAGAACACCAGUGGCGAAGGCGGCUCUCUGGUCUGUAACUGACGCUGAGGCUCGAAAGCGUGGGUAGCAAACAGGAUUAGAUACCCUGGUAGUCCAC
rnacentral:rRNA from 1 species